CAUCACCUGGGCGGCCACAAUAUGAGCUGCAGUAGUUCGUCUGGGGACUUGAUUUAAAUAUCUCUUUCCUCUGCAGAGAGAGGACCAUCUACCCCAGAAGUCUGGUGUCCAUGUGUCAUCUGGUCAUAGGAGUUUUGUUAGAAUGAUGUGGACGUAUACGUACAGCAUCUGGCAGGAGCUGGAACAGAGAACAAGUUGUCUUGGAGUGCUGGGGACGGGACCUGGAUUCUUCGUUCAUACUUGUCCAUGGACGUUGCAACUUGCCAUCAUGAUGGUUGGAGAACCUCUUCAGAAAAUUACUCCAAAAAGAGGCUCCGCUCCAGAGGCUGUCUAACUUCAGCCCAGAAGAAUACUAACUGGUUGUCCUGAACGUUAACAGAUGUCUGGUCGUCUCCAACCAGCAGCAUCAUCUGCAGACCAAAUUAACAGAAUUCAUUUCCUAAAGUCCAAGAAAGGCUGAUGAAGAGCAAAGUGGAGCCAACCUUCAUGGAGGGCCUUGUCUACUGAGCAGCAGGCGAAGUACUUCCAGGAGGCCAAUUUGUUGAGGCGCCAGCAUGAACUGCAACACCCCCAAUGGUCCAGCAUGGACAACUAUGUACGUACUCUGUGCUCAGACAUGAUCACCUCACUGCACUGAUGCUGAUGAAUGGUGACAGCAAAGAUUUCCUAUAAUCGGAUAUCAGAGAAAAAAUCUAAUGUGUCUUUUUCUGUGUUUUUAGGGCCAG